rnacentral:rRNA from 1 species
UUUUUUGCGUCUUCGAGGAUCUCUGCGUAGAUGGUCGCAUAAGAGCGAUCCGGCACCAUGGCGAUGCAAUCCUGAAGCUUGUCGUCGUUGUUCCACAUCCCGCCGCCGUCACGCACCACAUUAGGCAUCGAGGCAUCGAUGAUGAUGUUGUUGGGAACGUGCAGG